rnacentral:rRNA from 1 species
UACGGGAGGCAGCAGUGGGGAAUAUUGGGCAAUGGGCGAAAGCCUGACCCAGCGACGCCGCGUGAAGGAAGAAGGCCUUCGGGUUGUAAACUUCAGUCAACAGGGAAGAAGAAAGUGACGGUACCUGUGGAGGAAGCCACGGCUAACUACGUGCCAGCAGCCGCGGUAAU